AUUUAGUGGGCGGAUGUGACUUGAAGAAACAAUUCGGCACUGAAGGAAUAACAACUGCAAUAUUGGAGUGUCGAAAUGACAAAAUGAAAACCUGGAAAACGAUGGAGAAGAACUGGUAAAGAAGUCGACUCAAAUAAAUGAUCAAGAAGGACUGUAAAGCUGUCAUCCCGUCCUGCAACCACCUAUGUGAAGACUGAUGAGCAAUGGCUAAGGGAUAGCAGCAGAAUAACACUGAAGGAGGCGGUGCCUCCUGAAGGAUCCCAAAACACUGCUCUUCAAAUGGAACACAUCCAACCUUCAGGUGACCGUGCAGGAUGUACCACUCUGGAACAUCAAGCCUCUCCCUACCUGCCAGCACAUGAAAAUAUUUCUACUUCUGACUAUCAAAGA